AAUCUCCUCCCUCUGUCACACUAUAGAUGCUGCGGUCAGUGUGACCACAUCAUCUUUAGCACCCGCCAUGCAGGACUUUGAUGCACCAGCUGCAGGGGGUCGUGCAGUUGGUGCUGGUGACAAUCAGCUGUCUAUGACAGUUUAUCUCCAGGAUGAGCUGGCUCGUCCUAAUGCGUCACUAGCACUUUUCUGUAACCGGUUGAAGAGCUCCUACGGCGCUGCCGCCCGCUGCUUGUUCAUGCACUUUAUGCACCUUGCCACAUGAAUCACUUGAAUAAAAGAAAAUACAACUAGAAGAGUGGAAUUAUAAACAAAAGUUUACAUGGAUAUUAUACUAAAACAUAAGACAACGUUUCUGUGGUUAAACGAAAACCCACCCAUUGAGGCGGUCGCAGACACUACAGGAGGCACCCGUGCCCAGAAGAAUCCGAAACCAUCACAUGCCAAGUUGAACUUCAAAAAGAAGGAGUAACUUCUCCAUUUACGGGAUUUAAGGGAAGCAACAGCGGGACUGAACAGCCUGAAAAACAUCUUAUUAUGCAACAUUACAUAAUUGCUGUCUUUUCUCUCCACAUUUGGGCAAUAAGAGCAUUACUAUAUUUUAUUGAUUAAAGUUACACAAACUAAAAAUAUUUUUGUCACAUACACACUUCCCCUUUUCCCCCUCCCUUUUCUUCUUUUCUCCCCCCCCUUUUUUCUUUCCCCUCCUUUCCUCUCCCUCCUUCCUCUCCCCCCCCCCCUUUUUGCUGGCUAUAUGUCAUCUUUGUUUAUACACAAAUA